rnacentral:lncRNA from 1 species
CUUGUAUUUUAAUUCGUCUUUAGCAUGUAGCAACACAAAUUGUUCAAGGGUAAGCCACAACAUCUAGAAAUCACUCCUAGAUACGAACAAUAAAGGAAAAAAAAAUGGUACCGAUUUAGGAGGAAACAAAGCCGCUGUCGCUGGGUUUUCUGUGCAGCCUGCAGUGACUUCUGACACACGAGGAGAAACUGUCACUGUGAACCAAGUCAUCCUUGUUGGGAGAGUGCCACAGCCUGCUGCUUAGUUGAGUUACCAGACAUCCUCCACUUCCGAAGCAGCGAACGUCGAAUCUCAGGGAUGGUCCUCAACUGGAUCCAAGUGUAACGAGCCCUGUUUGAAUAAUGAGGGAGGGGGAGAGUGAUCCAUCCACAAUCCGGAAGCAGAUUUGCAGAGGUUUCCUGCACUGUUGUUUGACACUGCCCUGUUGAUGCCCUUACUCUUACGUUACUGUUUUCUCUGUCUGCUGUCUAACCCUGUGCCUUGCCUGGGAUAAGGACAAUGAUAAAGUUACUGGUUUUGGUUGUAAGUAGAGGACUUUAUCAAUUGGU